UGAAAUGGACAAGAAUGAGGACCCUGUCCAAACAAACAGCAGUACAACACUGCUCAUCCGCCACCUACCAGCUGAGCUCAGCCAGGAUGAAAAGGAGGACCUUCUUAAGUAUUUUGGAGCUCAGUCAGUCCGGGUCUUCUCAAACACGGGUUGUCUGAAACACACAGCCUUUGCAACAUUUAGAAGUGAGAAGUCAGCUGCAAAGGCUCUUACCAGGCUCCAUCAGUUAGAGAUUCUUGAUCACAGGCUUGUUGCAGAAUUUGCUAAAGGCCAAGAUCACAUCACAGUAUUAAAGGAUCCACCGGUGUCCGACAGUGGUAAACAUGUUAAAGAAGAGAAGAAGAAACAGGAGACUCCACAGCCAGAUAUUCCCCUCAUAGAGACCGGUGUUGCACCAAGCCUCGGGUUGAAAUUUCAAUCCAAUCCCACUUUGAAAUAUUUAUACCCACCACCUUCUAAUGGCACUCUGACAAAUAUAACGCACGCCCUCAUGAGUGUGCCAAAGUUUUAUGUUCAAGUUCUUCAUCUGAUGAACAAGAUGAAUUUACCCUGUCCAUUUGGUCCAGUCACUGCUAGACCCCCCAUGUUUGAGCACCUGCCUCCUGCGCCGCCCAUCCCCAUGCCCCCUCCCUUUCCUCCUGACUACCCCCCUUUACCAGAGGAAGAGAUGGAGCUGUCCAGUGAGGAAGAGUCAGAGUAUGAGAGUGGAGAUGACGAGGACAAGGAGAGGAUUGUUCGUCUGAUGGGCCUGGUCAACCAAGCAUGCAAGAGACCCAUGAGACCAAAAACAGCUUCAAAGAGAAAGAAGCCCAAGAUCAAGGAUCUACUCUAUGCUCCCAAACCAGACUCUCAAAGUGCUCCAGUACUGCAGCCCUGUGAUGUGUUUGAGCAGCCCAACCCUGCCGGGCCCAAGAAGAUUGAAUUCCACAUCUCAGUUCCAGAGGUAUCGUCCAUAAUGGAAGGAAGUGGGCUGGGUCAAGAGGCACAGUCUGAUGAAGGCAGAAAAGUGGAUGAGACGGAUGUCACUCCCCCUCUUGGUGAUGAGAAGGAGGUCGUUGAAGGUUUUGGGAAACUCUACCCCAGCACCCAGGAGUCCCAACAGCAGGAGGAGCAGAGCGAUGACGAGCAGGACCUCACCUCAGACAUCAUCUCUAGAAAGGAGCUGGAGAAAGGACGACUGUCAAGAGAUGAGAUAAAAAGGAUGUCUGUGUUUAAAAAUUACGAACCUGGUGAGCCAACCUGCAGACUGUACGUGAAGAAUAUUGCAAAGCAGGUGGAGGAGAAAGACCUGAAAUACAUCUAUGGGAGAUACAUUGACCUCCUGUCAGAGGGCGAGAGAAACAUGUUUGACAUUGUGUUAAUGAAGGAGGGGCGGAUGAAAGGGCAGGCCUUCGUAGGACUCCCCAGUGAGCGGAGUGCAGAGAAAGCCCUGCGGGAAACCAACGGCUAUGUUCUCUAUGACAAACCCCUGGUCGUUCAGUUUGCCAGAUCUGCGAGACCAAAACAAGACAACACAGAAACCAAGAGAGCUCCCAAACAGAGGUGAACUCAGCAGCUCAUACGUCAACGCCAGUGUGAGGGAGGAGUUCCCAUCUGUGCCCUACUCUGCCCGCCAUCUCAACGAUGACAAAUGUGCCACCCGCAGUGGAAAUAUUGAGAGUUACCAGGACAUUUAUCAGAGAGACCUGUAGCUGUACACUGGAGUGUUGUUGGUGUCAAAGGGCAGUGCCCUGCCUUCACUGAGAGGCCACGUCGGUUUCAGCCGACUGCAGCUGUGGCACUCGCCAUGUGUGGCUGGGAGACUGAAUACCUGCUUCACAGCAUCUGAAUCCAUCCCUCCCUCUCCCUACACCCAGCACAGGGACAGUCUCUCAAGCCUUGCCAUGGAAGAAAAACACAUCCAGUGUGUGUCCACACCAAGCUGAGCCGGAACCAGCAGGAUGUUGUUACUGGAACCAGCUGAGAGGAGCUACCCAGGUCUGGAGGCCUCCACCUCGACAUGGCUGCAGUCCAGGUUCUGUUUCCUGAAUGGGUCCUGGGUCUGCUUCUUGGAUAGUUCCUGGUUCCAUUGUCUCACUGGUUCCUGGUUCAGUAGUGUGGCUGGUGCUUGCCUGCAGAGUUUCACUGCUGCCAAAGAAGAAUCACUCUGUUAUAUUCAUGGCCAAAAAACUGUAGCAUGCAAGUAUUCAAAUUUGUAAAACAAAUCUGUAAUCAAAUUAGAACUCUCUCAAUUUCUAUGACAAACAGUUUGAAUAUAUAAGCAAGAUUUAUGUGACUGUCCUAAUUACCUACCCUACACUAGUGUUGCUACCAAGGUGAAAGAGAAGCAUACCAAUAGCUUACUACAUUAUUUAGUAGAGUUAUAGGUUACACUACAAACUUCCUGUCAGGAUAUCCAUAACAUUAGCUCCUUUUUGUUAAAUGUUACUGUAUAUACUGUAUAUGUAUAUAUUAUAUACGUUAUGACAGAACCACAUAUUUGUUGAAUUUUAGUUUCAACUAAUCACAACUGAACUGAAAAAUUACUGUCAUUCCCAUGUCAGAUGGUCAAAAAAUGAUAUGAUAUAUAAUGAUAUCUUUAAGUAAAUUCUCCACAAAUUCUUUUUU